CUCUUUUCAAGGAUGUUGGCACACAGCCUGGGAAGAUAGAGAUAGCGUCUCCCUCUGGUGAAAGGGCGGCUAUGCUUACUGCCCUUUACAAAAGACUGGGUUCUGUAAGAGCACGGUCCCUCUCCCGACGCACAAUCCACUGCACUUGCCGGCAUGCGUCUGGGUCUAUCCAGGUCGUCCCCACGAGACUUGGGAGCAGAGAGAACGGACACACUGUGCUUGGCUCGUGCUGCUUGCUGUGCGCACCUCUGCGAGGAAGGAAUCAUCACUUCCAUUUUAGAGGCGUUUGCCAUGCCUACACAAUUGCUCUUCGGACUUCAUCUGGAGGAUGGCAGGAAAUCGUUGUUUUGGGCA